rnacentral:rRNA from 1 species
UAGUGGCGAACGGGUGAGUAACACGUGAGUAACCUGCCCUUGACUCUGGGAUAAUCCUGGGAAACUGGGUCUAAUACCGGAUACUACCAUCUGGCGCAUGUCAUGGUGGUGGAAAGCUUUUGUGGUUUUGGAUGGACUCGCGGCCUAUCGUCUUGUUGGUGGGGUAAUGGCCUACCAAGGCGACAACGGGUAGCCGGCCUGAGAGGGUGACCGGCCACACUGGGACUGAGACACGGCCCACACUCCUACGGGAGGCAGCAGUGGGGAAUAUUGCACAAUGGGCGCAAGCCUGAUGCAGCGACGCCGCGUGAGGGAUGACGGCCUUCGGGUUGUAAACCUCUUUCAGUAGGGAAGAAGCGAAAGUGACGGUACCUGCAGAAGAAGCGCCGGCUAACUACGUGCCAGCAGCCGCGGUAAUACGUAGGGCGCAAGCGUUAUCCGGAAUUAUUGGGCGUAAAGAGCUCGUAGGCGGUUUGUCGCGUCUGCUGUGAAAGACCGGGGCUCAACUCCGGUUCUGCAGUGGGUACGGGCAGACUAGAGUGCAGUAGGGGAGACUGGAAUUCCUGGUGUAGCGGUGAAAUGCGCAGAUAUCAGGAGGAACACCGAUGGCGAAGGCAGGUCUCUGGGCUGUAACUGACGCUGAGGAGCGAAAGCAUGGGGAGCGAACAGGAUUAGAUACCCUGGUAGUCCAUGCCGUAAACGUUGGGCACUAGGUGUGGGGGACAUUCCACGUUUUCCGCGCCGUAGCUAACGCAUUAAGUGCCCCGCCUGGGGAGUACGGCCGCAAGGCUAAAACUCAAAGGAAUUGACGGGGGCCCGCACAAGCGGCGGAGCAUGCGGAUUAAUUCGAUGCAACGCGAAGAACCUUACCAAGGCUUGACAUGAACCGGGAAGACCUGGAACAGGUGCCCCGCUUGCGUC